ACCACGUAAACACCAGAGAGCACAGCGGGUCUUUGCCUUUGCCGGAGGGGGUGGUGGCUCCCUGAAGCCAGGGAUUUUCGUCCGCCAAGAUGGCUUCCAAAGGGAGAACUUUGAGCUUCAGUGAAAGGCACCAGCAAUUAGUAGAUAGAAACUACCACAAAAUGUUGCACCUCAAGGCUCUAAAUAAGAUAGAGUCUCAAAUCAGGGACCAAAUUGUGCGGAAUGAAAAUGAUGAUCGAGCUGAUCGCAAGAGAUUCCUCAGGUUAUUACAGGAUGAACAAUUUGAGUUGGAUAUGGAAGAGGCCAUUCAAAAGGCAGAAGAAAACAAAAGAUUGAGGGAACUCCAGUUUGAACAAGAAGAAAAAUUGGCUGUGGAACUGGCAAAACUAAAACACGAAAGUCUGAAGGAUGAAAAGAUGAGGCAACAAGUAAAAGAAAACAGUAUUGAGCUCAGAGAAUUGGAGAAGAAAUUAAAAGCAGCUUACAUGAAUAAAGAAAGAGCAGCUCAGAUUGCUGAAAAGGAUGCCAUUAAAUAUGAACAAAUGCUGAUUGAGAAAUUGGGACAAAUGCUGCAGCAACGUGACGAUUUAGAACAAGUGCGACAAGAAUUAUACCAGGAAGAACAAGCUGAAAUACAAAAGAGGAAACUAAAAGAAGAAGCAGAAGAGAAGUUGAGAAAGCAAAAGGAGUUAAAGCAAAAUUUUACAGAACAAAUGGCCUUGAAGGAACUAGUACUACAGGCUGCAAAAGAGGAAGAGGAGACCUUUAGAAAAGCUAUGUUAGCUAAACUUGCUGAGGAUGAUCGAAUAGAAUUAAUGAAUGCUCACAAACGAAGAAUGAAGCAACUAGAACAUGGGAGGGCUGUGGAAAAACUUAUUGAAGAGCGAAAAAAGCGUCACAAAGUUCCUUGCAGACAAACAACGUGAACUGGAAGAAUGGCAGUUACAGCAAAGUAGGCAAGGACGUAUUAAUGCAAUUAUUGAAGAAGAAAGACUAAAACUUCUCCAAGAACAUGCUACAAAAUUACUAGGAUAUCUCCCUAAAGGAGUAUUCAAAACAGAGGGUGAUAUUGAUAUGCUUGGUGAAGAGUUUAAGAAGGCAUAUCAGAAAAGGAGUGAAAUUUGUGAAGAAAAGUGAUAUCAAGAUUUGGUAAAACCUGGAUUCUUUUGCAUGUUACCACUAGAUGUCAGUGUAAGUUUUGUUUUCCAGUUCAGUGAUAGGAAUCUUGUCUCUGAAUUUUCUAAAACAUCUCCAUUUCAUCAUUUGUAAGUGGUUCUCUAUAAGAAAACAUUUAUUUUCUGAUAAAAAUUAAAAUGAAUAAAUACUUUCAACUGCAAA